UACGUAGGGGGGCAAGCGUUGUCCGGAUUUAUUGGGCGUAAAGAGCGUGUAGGCGGCCAUGCAGGUCAGCUGUGAAAACUCGAGGCUCAACCUCGAGACGUCGGUUGAAACCGUAUGGCUAGAGUCCGGAAGAGGCGAGUGGAAUUCCUGGUGUAGCGGUGAAAUGCGCAGAUAUCAGGAGGAACACCAAUGGCGAAGGCAGCUCGCUGGGACGGUACUGACGCUGAGACGCGAAAGCGUGGGGAGCAAACAGG
rnacentral:rRNA from 1 species